UACAGAGGUCCCAAGCGUUGUUCGGAUUCAUUGGGCGUAAAGGGUGCGUAGGCGGCGCGGGAAGUCGGGUGUGAAAUCUCGGAGCUUAACUCCGAAACUGCAUUCGAUACUGCCGUGCUUGAGGACUGGAGAGGAGACUGGAAUUUACGGUGUAGCGGUGAAAUGCGCAGAUAUCAGGAGGAACACCGGUGGCGAAGGCGGGGUCUCUGGGCCGAUACUGACGUGAGGAGCGAAAA
rnacentral:rRNA from 1 species